rnacentral:rRNA from 1 species
AUGGUGUCCGUUGGCAGCAACUCCGGCGUCAUUGAGCUGGAUGCUCUGGACUGCAGCUUCUGCUACGACUACCUCCGGCCGCCAGUCUUCCAGUGUGUUAUGGGGCAUAUUAUUUGUUCGUCCUGCUAUGGCAAGCUCCUGAACAAGGACAAGUGCCACGUGUGCUCCAUCACCGGCGGCUACAACCGCUGCAUUGCGGUCGAGCAGAUCCUAGAGUCUGUUCGGGCCCCUUGCUCCAACACCAAGUACGGUAACGGGUGCACCGUCAAGACACAUUACCACGAGCUGAAGGAUCACGAGAAGCCAUGCCCCCGCGCCCCCUGCUUCUGCCCUGAAGCCGGGUGUGGCUUUGUCGGAUCCACCGGUGUGCUCAUGCGCCAUUUCACGGAUGAUCAUGGCUGGCCAUCAACUGAGUUCAAGUUUGGACGUGAUUCCAUCCUGCAGAUCCAGGAAGGAAUGCAUGUUCUCCACAGCAAAGAGGGUGGCCGCCUGUUCCUGGUGAAAUUCACACCGGUGCCACCUUUCGGCAAUGCAGCCUCCUUCUUGCGUGUUCAUGCUCACGCCGUUGUGGGGGAGCGCAAGUUUAGGUGUCAGGUUGGUUACAACUGCAACACCAUUGGUUGGCAUCAGUAUUCAAAUCUCCAUCCCAGAAGCACCAAUCUGUCCAACGGCUUACCGGUGGACGAUGGCAGUUACUCACUGGUUGUGCCAGCUGUUCCUGAUUACUUACCCGCUGCUAACAGGUCGUGUGGAGAACAUCUCGAGUUUUUGACGAGCUCAAUGGUCACUAUCUCAAGGGUAUCUUGA